UACGUAGGGUGCGAGCGUUAAUCGGAAUUACUGGGCGUAAAGUGUGCGCAGGCGGCCGCGCAAGUCGAGUGUGAAAGCCCCGAGCUUAACUUGGGAAUUGCGCUCGAAACUACGUGGCUGGAGUGUGGCAGAGGAAGGUGGAAUUCCAGGUGUAGCGGUGAAAUGCGCAGAUAUCGGGAAGAACACCUAUGGCGAAGGCAGCUCUCUGGGACGGUACUGACGCUGAGACGCGAAAGCGUGGGGAGCGAACGGG
rnacentral:rRNA from 1 species